UACGUAGGGUGCAAGCGUUAAUCGGAAUUACUGGGCGUAAAGCGUGCGCAGGCGGUUGUGCAAGACAGAUGUGAAAUCCCCGGGCUCAACCUGGGAACUGCAUCUGUGACUGCAUUGCUGGAGUGCGGCAGAGGGGGAUGGAAUUCCGCGUGUAGCAGUGAAAUGCGUAGAUAUGCGGAGGAACACCGAUGGCGAAGGCAAUCCCCUGGGCCUGCACUGACGCUCAUGCACGAAAGCGUGGGGAGCAAACAGG
rnacentral:rRNA from 1 species